UAAAACCAAGGAGAAGGUUCCUCUUAAUGCGAGGAUGGUACCACCAGAUCCUUAUGCUGGUUCUGAUACUUGGUUUCCUGGUGCUUCAUCAAUGCCUGAUAGGGCUUCGAUGCAGUUUUUUGCACCUGACAAACAUGCAGCUAGGCCUCCUUAUUUCCAUCAUCACCCUGGUCCAUUUUCAUAUACCAAUGCACAUGAAAUGGCCCUGCAUAAUUUUCAUCCUCCAAUGCACACGUCAAAUCAGAUUCCUGGGUAUGGGGAUCCAUUUGUGCCAAAAAGAGCUCCGCAUCAGUUAUCUGGACAAUAUCAACAACCCUCCCAUCAAUACUUCUCUAGACAUUUCUUUGAUACUAAUCCUAAUGCAUUUGAGCCACACACAUCCAAUGCAACAUUUCACCCGCCUUCAUGUUCUUGUUUCCAUUGUUAUGAGAGACAUCAGGGAGUCUCAGCACCAGUUCCACCCACCACUUUCUGUAAUAAAAGGUUCCCUGACGUUUCAAACAAUCCUAUGCCGUACCAUCAUGAAAACCCAGGGGCAUUUGGUCCACAUGUUCAUAAUGCCAGGACUACAAUUCCUCCUCAAUUGGAUUUUCGUGGUCCCCAAUCCCACACAAGAUGGCCAAGUGAUCCUAAGUCUGAAAUGGGUGGUUUUGCUCGCUAUCGGCCUCGGAGAGUGGUCUUAGCCAGUGGUGGUCAAUGCUGCCGUCCCAUAGUAGGUGGUGCUCCAUUUUUUAUGUGCUUUAAUUGCUUUGAACUGCUGCAAUUUCCCAAGAAAGCACUGCUUAUGGGGAAGAAUCAACAAAAGAUCAGGUGUGGUGCCUGUUCUACAGAAAUAAAUUUUGCUAUUGUAAACAAGAAACUUGUUCUUUCAGUUAACACGGAAAUGACACAAAUUCCCACAGAGGUUGAUGAUAGCUCUACAGAGAUGCUUAAAGACAAUACUUCAUACUCUCAUGGCCAUAUGAGCAGGAUAAAUGC
rnacentral:misc_RNA from 1 species